UAAAUUUUAGCUUAAUCUAUAGCAUUAGGCUGUUACCCUGAAGAUAAAAAGAUUUUC
rnacentral:tRNA from 1 species